rnacentral:rRNA from 1 species
GAUGAACGCUGGCGGCGUGCCUAAUACAUGCAAGUCGAACGAAACUUCUUUAUCACCGAGUGCUUGCACUCACCGAUAAAGAGUUGAGUGGCGAACGGGUGAGUAACACGUGGGCAACCUGCCCAAAAGAGGGGGAUAACACUUGGAAACAGGUGCUAAUACCGCAUAACCAUAGUUACCGCAUGGUAACUAUGUAAAAGGUGGCUAUACUACCGCUUUUGGAUGGGCCCGCGGCGCAUUAGCUGGUUGGUAGGGUAAAGGCUUACCAAGGCAAUGAUGCGUAGCCGAAUUGAGAGGUUGAUCGGCCACAUUGGGACUGAGACACGGCCCAAACUCCUACGGGAGGCAGCAGUAGGGAAUCUUCCACAAUGGGCGAAAGCCUGAUGGAGCAACGCCGCGUGGGUGAAGAAGGUCUUCGGAUCGUAAAACCCUGUUGUUAGAGAAGAAAGUGCGUGAGAGUAACUGUUCACGUUUCGACGGUAUCUAACCAGAAAGCCACUGCUAACUACGUG